rnacentral:rRNA from 1 species
CCUACGGGAGGCAGCAGUGAGGAAUAUUGGUCAAUGGGCGGGAGCCUGAACCAGCCAAGUCGCGUGAGGGAAGACGGUCCUACGGAUUGUAAACCUCUUUUGCCGGGGAGCAACGGGGUCCUUGCGAGGGCCCGAUGAGAGUACCCGGAGAAAAAGCAUCGGCUAACUCCGUGCCAGCAGCCGCGGUAAUACGGAGGAUGCGAGCGUUAUCCGGAUUUAUUGGGUUUAAAGGGUGCGUAGGCGGAAUGCCAAGUCAGCGGUAAAAUCGCGGGGCUCAACCUCGCUCCGCCGUUGAAACUGGCGUUCUUGAGUGGGCGAGAAGUAUGCGGAAUGCGUGGUGUAGCGGUGAAAUGCAUAGAUAUCACGCAGAACUCCGAUUGCGAAGGCAGCAUACCGGCGCCCAACUGACGCUGAAGCACGAAAGCGUGGGUAUCGAACAGGAUUAGAUACCCGGGUAGUC